GAUGAAGAACGCAGUGAAAUGCGAUAAGUAAUGUGAAUUGCAGAAUUCAGUGAAUCAUCGAAUCUUUGAACGCACCUUGCGCCCUUUGGCCAUUCCGAAGGGCAUGCCUGUUUGAGUAUCAUGAACACCUCAACUCUUCAUGGUUUUCCGUGAUGAGCUUGGACUUUGGGGGUCUUGCUGGCCUAUGGUCAGCUCCUCUAAAAUAAAUCAGCUUGCCAGUGUUUGGUGGGUAUCACAGGUGUGAUAACUAUCUACGCUUGUGGUUUUCCACCAGGUAACCUUCAGCAGUGGAGGUUCGCUGGAGCUCACAAAUGUGUCUCUCCUCAGUGAGGACAGCUCUUUGAAUGUUUGAUCUCAAAUCAGGUAGGACUACCCGCUGAACUUAAGCAUAUCAAUAAGCGGAGGA
rnacentral:misc_RNA from 1 species